UAUCCGUAGGUGAACCUGCGGAGGGAUCAUUACAGAGUUCAUGCCCUACUGGGUAGAUCUCCCACCCUAUGUUAUUAUUACUUUGUUGCUUUGGCGGGCCGUUAGGCUCCGGCCCGACUACCGGCCCCGGCUGGUAAGCGCCCGCCAGAGGACCCAAAACCCUGAAUAUUAGUGUCGUCUGAGUACUAUAUAAUAGUUAAAACUUUCAACAACGGAUCUCUUGGUUCUG
rnacentral:misc_RNA from 1 species